rnacentral:rRNA from 1 species
UGGGGAAUUUUGGACAAUGGGCGAAAGCCUGAUCCAGCAAUGCCGCGUGUGUGAAGAAGGCCUUCGGGUUGUAAAGCACUUUUGUCCGGGAAGAAAUCCUUGGCUCUAAUACAGUCGGGGGAUGACGGUACCGGAAGAAUAAGCACCGGCUAACUACGUGCCAGCAGCCGCGGUAAUACGUAGGGUGCAAGCGUUAAUCGGAAUUACUGGGCGUAAAGCGUGCGCAGGCGGUUUGCUAAGACCGAUGUGAAAUCCCCGGGCUCAACCUGGGAACUGCAUUGGUGACUGGCAGGCUAGAGUAUGGCAGAGGGGGGUAGAAUUCCACGUGUAGCAGUGAAAUGCGUAGAGAUGUGGAGGAAUACCGAUGGCGAAGGCAGCCCCCUGGGCCAAUACUGACGCUCAUGCACGAAAGCGUGGGGGAGCAAACAGGAUUAGAUACCCUGGUAGUCCACGCCCUAAACGAUGUCAACUAGUUGUUGGGGAUUCAUUUCCUUAGUAACGUAGCUAACGCGUGAAGUUGACCGCCUGGGGGAGUACGGUCGCAAGAUUAAAACUCAAAUGAAUUGACGGGGUCAUAGCUGUUUCCU